AUCACUUCUCUGGCCUUUUGGCUAAGAUCAAGUGUAGUAUCUGUUCUUACCUGUUUAAUAACAACCUGUUUUUUUUCACUUGUCACAUUUU
rnacentral:snRNA from 1 species